UCUAACCUAAGAGUUUGAUCCUGGCUCAGAACGAACGCUGGCGGCAUGCCUAACACAUGCAAGUCGAACGCUAUUUAUAGAGUGGCGCACGGGUGAGUAACGCGUGGGAACCUGCCUUUUUCUGCGGGAUAACGGUUGGAAACGAUCGCUAAUACCGCAUACGCCCUUCGGGGGAAAGGUCCGCCGGAGAAAGAGGGGCCCGCGUCUGAUUAGCUAGUUGGUAGGGUAAUGGCUUACCAAGGCGACGAUCAGUAGCUGGUCUGAGAGGAUGAUCAGCCACACUGGGACUGAGACACGGCCCAGACUCCUACGGGAGGCAGCAGUGGGGAAUUUUCC
rnacentral:rRNA from 1 species